UACGUAGGGGGCAAGCGUUGUCCGGAAUCAUUGGGCGUAAAGCGCGUGUAGGCGGCUGGCUAAGUCCGCUCUGAAAGCUCGGGGCUCAACCCCGAGUCGGCCGUGCGAACUGCUGGGCUCGAGCACUGUAGAGGCAGGCGGAAUUCCGGGUGUAGCGGUGGAAUGCGUAGAGAUCCGGAAGAACACCGGUGGCGAAGGCGGCCUGCUGGGCAGUAGCUGACACUGAGGCGCGACAGCGUGGGGAGCAAACAGG
rnacentral:rRNA from 1 species